rnacentral:rRNA from 1 species
AUAGAUGUGGAAGUUUUCGGAUGGAAGCGUGUAUGACUGAGCGGCGGACGGGUGAGUAACGCGUGGGUAACCUGCCUCAUACAGGGGGAUAACAGUUAGAAAUGACUGCUAAUACCGCAUAAGCGCACAGGACCGCAUGGUCCGGUGUGAAAAACUCCGGUGGUAUGAGAUGGACCCGCGUCUGAUUAGCUGGUUGGUGAGGUAACGGCCCACCAAGGCGACGAUCAGUAGCCGACCUGAGAGGGUGGCCGGCCACAUUGGGACUGAGACACGGCCCAAACUCCUACGGGAGGCAGCAGUGGGGAAUAUUGCACAAUGGGGGAAACCCUGAUGCAGCAACGCCGCGUGAGUGAAGAAGUAUUUCGGUAUGUAAAGCUCUAUCAGCAGGGAAGAGAGUGACGGUACCUGACUAAGAAGCCCCGGCUAACUACGUGCCAGCAGCCGCGGUAAUACGUAGGGGGCAAGCGUUAUCCGGAUUUACUGGGUGUAAAGGGAGCGUAGACGGCUGUACAAGUCUGAAGUGAAAGCCCGUGGCUCAACCGCGGAACUGCUUUGGAAACUGUAAAGCUGGAGUACUGGAGAGGCAGGCGGAAUUCCUAGUGUAGCGGUGAAAUGCGUAGAUAUUAGGAGGAACACCAGUGGCGAAGGCGGCCUGCUGGACAGAAACUGACGUUGAGGCUCGAAAGCGUGGGGAGCAAACAGGAUUAGGUACCCUGGUAGUCCACGCGGUAAACGAUGAAUGCUAGGUAUUGGUGGGCAAAGCCCAUCGGUGCCGUCGCAAACGCAGUAAGCAUUCCACCUGGGGAGUACGUUCGCAAGAAUGAAACUCAAAGGAAUUGACGGGGACCCGCACAAGCGGUGGAGCAUGUGGUUUAAUUCGAAGCAACGCGAAGAACCUUACCAAGUC